AGGACGAACGCUGGCGGCGUGCUUAACACAUGCAAGUCGAGCGGUAAGGCCUUUCGGGGUACACGAGCGGCGAACGGGUGAGUAACACGUGGGUGAUCUGCCCUGCACUUCGGGAUAAGCCUGGGAAACUGGGUCUAAUACCGGAUAUGACCUCAGGUUGCAUGACUUGGGGUGGAAAGAUUUAUCGGUGCAGGAUGGGCCCGCGGCCUAUCAGCUUGUUGGUGGGGUAAUGGCCUACCAAGGCGACGACGGGUAGCCGACCUGAGAGGGUGACCGGCCACACUGGGACUGAGACACGGCCCAGACUCCUACGGGAGGCAGCAGUGGGGAAUAUUGCACAAUGGGCGAAAGCCUGAUGCAGCGACGCCGCGUGAGGAUGACGGCCUUCGGGUUGUAAACCUCUUUCAGCAGGACGAAGCGCGAAGUGACGGUACCUGCAGAAGAAGCACCGGCUAACUACGUGACCAGCAGCCGC
rnacentral:rRNA from 1 species